AGAAGUUAAUAAAUUGUUUCUUAACUUUUAACUAAAAAAGUUAAGAAUCGGUUCUUAACUAAGGAUUUUAAGAACCGGUUCUUAACUUUUUUAGUUAAAAGUUAAGAAACGGUUUUUUAACUUCC
rfam:Brassica oleracea var. oleracea cultivar TO1000 chromosome C4, whole genome shotgun sequence